rnacentral:rRNA from 1 species
AGCCGCGCGCCAAGCCCUACAACCGCACCGUAGGNGGUAGGGGAGCCCAAAAGCCCCCGGGNCCCCCGAAAUUANUGGUGCGGGGCUCGCCCCCUAAGCGCCCGCAUAUCCCCCGAGCAGGGGGGGCGGGGGNAAUAAUUUGUUCGCCACGGCGGCCCCUCGCGGCGCGCUCGCGCGCCACGCCAGGCCCGGACGCGCCGCGGCGGCACGGCGCAGCGCGCCCGCCGCAGUGCCGGGCGCACGCCACACGGCGNG